UGAAGGUUGACAGCUGAGGAUAGUUCCCACAUCCUUGAGAGCCAAUGAGGCUCUGGAAGGAAGAAUAAGAAGGGGAAAAAACUGGAGAGAAGUUGCCUUUGGGCAUGUCCAUAUCUGAGAGCAGGGGUGAGGAGAUUGGGGACAAAAAGGGAUCACAAGGAAGGUCCAGAGGUAAGGACUCCCCCACAGACACCGACAGGACCGGUGGAGCGAUGUCCUGCGAGUGGCUAUCUCAUUGAAGGACCCAAUGGCUGCGUGGAGCAUCGAGCAGGAUGGACAAGUGGAAAUGUAGACUUCCUAUCCCACCCAGAAGGCGGUCCUAGCAAAGUCCCGGCACCCACCAACCAAGACACCAGAAGGUCAAGUAUCAAGUUAGGACCUCAUAAUGGGGGCAAGAAUCACUAAGGAGAAUCCUGUGACUCUGACAAUGGAGGGAGUUAAGCUCCUUUUGGUAGAAGGGUUUUUGGGGACCCCCGCCCCGUCAAACCCCAAAAGGGGGAGGAGGGGGACAAAAGAAAGAAAAAAAAAAAAAAGAACAUUUUUUUU